rnacentral:siRNA from 1 species
GGGCGUUCUAGUGUUACUC